rnacentral:antisense_RNA from 1 species
AAAAGAUCAGGACAAGGUUAUGAUUUCUCACCCAAGUUCCUAGGAAAAAGGAUCAUGAGGGAAUUACUUAUUAACAAGGAAAAAGCAAAGAGGAACUUUACAAACUGUUACAGUUUUCCGUCAUCACUUGACGGCUGACAAGAAGCCUCUUUGAAUUCCAGUAUACAUGAUCACAUUUUAAAACCUUCAAGACGCCGUUUAAUCAGGAGUUGUAAGGCAUAUUUGUUAGGGAGAGCUGCACUUUAAAAAUUAUACAGACAUCACCUGAAGUUAUUAAAGUUAUCAAAACAUAUAAAAACCUUCAAGUAAGAGGCUACUCCCCAGGAAACGUGUGGAGCCAGUGAAAGGAAGAAAAACAAUGGAAGGAAGGCUUGAAAAGUCCAUUACAAAACUACAGUCCUUUGAAAAAGGUCUCAAAGAUAUUAAAAUGAAAACUGAUUACCUUAAACAAUAA